AUACGUAGGGGACAAGCGUUGUCCGGAAUCACUGGGCGUAAAGGGCGCGUAGGCGGUUUUAUAAGUCAGAUGUGAAAGGUACCGGCUCAACCGGUGACGUGCAUUUGAAACUGUAAGACUUGAGUACUGGAGAGGCAAGUGGAAUUCCUAGUGUAGCGGUGAAAUGCGUAGAUAUUAGGAGGAACACCGGUGGCGAAGGCGGCUUGCUGGACAGAUACUGACGCUGAGGUGCGAAAGCGUGGGGAGCGAACAGGAUUAGAUACCCUGGUAGUCCACGCCGUAAACGAUGAUGACUAGGUGUUGGGGAAACUCAGUGCCGCAGUUAACACAUUAAGUCAUCCGCCUGGGGAGUACGACCGCAAGGUUGAAACUUAAAUGAAUUGGCGGGG
rnacentral:rRNA from 1 species